GAAAACGGAAGCGACAGUCGACGACGGACAGUGGCACAACACAAAAGGGGAUCAGCCACAGCUGGCAUAUUCCCGCCAAACUGACGUCCACGACUCCACCCAUCUCGUCCUUCCGCCACGUGGCAAUGAGGCGGGCCCCACCACCGCUGCAACCUCUUCACGAAAUCUGUACGUCUCCAUUCUCAUUCACCGAUGUAGUAUUGGCGGUGAGGCUCCUCUCGCUUAAGACCGUCUGUUCAACUCUCGAACCAUUCGGUCACUUCCAUUCCAUCAUGAACAAACUUUAGGGAUUGAAGGAUAGGAUCUGGUUCUUGUCUCUCCCGUCGACUCUGCUUCUCGAUUCUAAUGGAGUCUCAAGAGAGUUUCAGUGUGUCAGGCUUGGAGGGAUUUUCAGGCGUUAAUGGAACCAAAGAGCAAAAAUCGGACUUUGAAAUCUCAGAAGAUGAAAGGAGGACAAGAAUUGGGACUUUGAAGAAAGCAGUUAGUGCAUCUAAUAACUUUAAGCAUUCGCUGGGGAAGAAAACCAGAACGGAAAGUGAAAACCAGAGUUCUCUUCCAAUAGAGGAUGUUCGUGAUGCUAAGGAGCUGAAGGUGGUAGAUGCUUUCCGAGAAGAAUUAAUAGUGAAUGACUUACUACCUGUGAGACAUGAUGAUUAUCAUAUGAUGUUGAGAUUUUUAAAAGCAAGGAAUUAUGAUAUUAAGAAAGCAAAGCACAUGUGGAUUCAGAUGCUUCAGUGGAGAGAAAAUUUUGGUACCGACACCAUCAUAGAGGAUUUUGAGUUCAAAGAGUUGAAUGAAGUUCUACAGUACUACGCACAGGGUUAUCAUAGUGUUGAUAAGGAGGGAAGGCCUAUUUACAUUGAAAAACUAGGAGAACUUGAUCCAAACAAGCUCAUGAAAGUGACAACUUUGGAUCGGCUUGUGAAAUACCAUGUACAGGAGUUUGAAAAGACUCUUGCUAUAAAGUUUCCAGCCUGCUCCAUUGCUGCAAAGAGACACAUAGAUUCAACUACAACUAUUUUAGAUGUUCAAGGCGUGGGUUUGAAAAAUGUGAGCAAGCCUGCACGAGAGGUUAUUUUGCACCUCCAGAAAAUUGAUAAUGACAACUAUCCUGAGACACUUUGCCGUAUGCUCAUUGUGAAUGCUGGUCCCGCCUUUAAGCUGCUAUGGAACACAAUCAAACCUUUUCUUGAUCCAAAAACAGCUUCGAAGAUUCAUGUUCUUGGCAGCAAAUACCAAUGCAAAUUGCUUGAAAUUAUUGAUGCGAGUGAGUUGCCUGAAUUUCUGGGUGGAAGCUGUACUUGUGUAGAUCAGGGAGGUUGUCUGAGGUCUGAUAAAGGACCAUGGAGAGACUCUGGCAUAUUUAAGAUGAUUAAGAAAAUUGAAGCGCAACAAUUGGAUCAAGAAGCAACCACAGCAGACAGAAGAAUAACUGGUGAUGAGAAGCCAUAUUACCAGAUGAUAAAGAGCGGGGGCACUUAUGCUGAAUCAGGAUCUGAAGCUGAAGAAAUUACUUCUCCUAAAGCGACAAGGAAACAUCCAGAUCCGAGAUUGACUCCUAUAAUUGAAGAAAUGAUGGAACUGAGCCAUGAUAAGUUGGGUGGAAGGUCUACAAUAAGAUGAACGCAACACAGCAUUAUCAAUUAUUAGCAAAUUGCACGCAGCAAAUCAUUAGAAAAUAUUCCAUCCGCAAUGUGAUUUUCUGUUGAUAGGCAUCAAUGGAAGCAAGCUGUACAUACAUCAGUUCUUCAGUGUUCUUGCUCUUUGAUAAAUUUAAAAGGCCCAUGCCAAAAUACUGAGUAAAAAAAGGCUCAUGCCAAAAUCACUUGAGCAGAGAAACGCAGUUAAAUUAGUAUUGAUCCCUAAUUGGCUAUUAUGACACGAUGUGUUCCGGUUCACUAUAUCCGGUUCAGUAAACAUAUUACAUCACUGUCUCUGUUGUCAUAGUUGACCUGCUUUAACUGUUAGGCUAGAGUGCUUGGAAAACGUAUUCUUGUUACUGCAUCUCUGGGAAUGAUGAAUUUGUCCCAGUCAUUGACAAGGCUGUGGAUGCAGGAUGUGAGAAACAAAUGUUCCUUCAAAAGCCCAAUGCUGCAAGAGGUUAGCAAACUUUUUCUUGUAAUUAUAUAUGUGUAUGCUAUUACCGAAUUUUAUUCAUAUUAGGAUCUAAUGGUGCUGUAUUUUGAAUGAUCUCUCUGCGACUGUCCUCUCUCCCUGUCUUAAUUCAUUUGAACUGAGCUUAUAAACAUUUAGGGUGCCCCAUUUUAUUCUAUCUUCUUAGAAGAAUAGGUGAAUAACUGCUGCCAAAUGACAUAGCAAACGUGGCACCCUUUUCAUUUAUUCUUAUUUUUGGCCAAAUGUUAUUUCCUUUCCCCUUAUUUGUCAGAUUUCCCAUUAGAAUGUCUAUUUCUAGGUUCAUUUAAACUGGCGUUAUAGCAUAAUUGGAACCACUUUGAGCUCAUUAACUCAGCUUGAUAAGAAGCUCUAGGUCCCUUGAACAACCAUCGAAGAACCUUGUUAUCAUACCUUUUCUUCCUGGGACUAAUUACCUACACUUCAUUUAUUGAUUGUUUCUCCAGUCAAAAUGCAGGUUACUUCUUUACCAGUUACGAUUUUGAUCGCAUCAGAAUAAUUAUAAGAGUUGAAAUUCUUUUACAGGCACAUUUCCUCUGCCAGGAGGGCAAAUAUCUCUGCCCGGACUUUGUAGUCAGAUUUGGGCAGCUCUUCUGGCCUUCCUUGUGUCCAUAUUUAAUCUAUUACAUUCACUGGCAUGCCAGGUGAUAAGAAAUAUUCAGAUUUAGCCUCUGAUUUAUCCAAGGCACCCCUAGCAAGGCAUUUGAACCAGCCCUGGUGCAGGAAUUCUCCCCUCCAAACUUUGGUUUCCCCAAGGCAGAUUCCUCAUCUGUCCUGCCGAGACUGGGUUCCCCAAUGCAUCUGUCCUGUCGCUUGGAUGCAUUGGAAGCAGAACUGAUUUCUGCUUAAAGGUAACUUCAAUCUCUUUACAUUUGUGGUUCUUUCAUAGUAACCGUAGGAAGGAAAUGUGAUUUAUUAUGCAUGAAUUGUAUUAGUCUGUAUAUGAUGUUGCUAUCCUCUAGGAUUUAGUGCACUUGGGCUGAUGGAAAUCCCAAAGACAGUUUUAGGUCUGCUAUUUCUCUGCUCCUUCAUUCAACAUCUUAGCCAGAGAGAAGUUACGUGAAAAAUAUGCACUGCCAAUUCUCAAUUCUCACAAAACAGGCAUACCCUCAUGGUGGAGAUGUCCUAAAAAAGGUACAACUCUUCACUUCGGAUGGGUACUGUGUUCUUAAUAUUUUUUACUUUUGCCCUUGUUCCAUCUUUGCAAAGGCACUUCAUGAAGCUUUAAUGAGGCAACAAGAACUGCUUACAUACGUGGACAGAAAAGAGGCCACUACAUUCCACAAAAAGUUUUGCUGGCAGGGAUUGAAGGAAGAUAGAUUUAGGCAAAGGAAAUUUUUUCUUUGAGAUUCAUAAAAUUUCAUAUUUAAAAUAUUGCAAAAUCUGAGCGCUCACAAGCAGUGGAGAUAAAGCUGCCUUAAUGCUUUUGUCGCAUGGUUAGUUGCCAUUUUCGGGCGUCCGCUGCUGUCUCCCAGACCCAGUCCCUCAUGCCAGGUGUAUUUUGUAGAGCUUUGUGUGGAGUGUGGCGAGUGUUAGCACAAGGAUGCCAUCAAGUUGUAUUCUCUUUAAUUAAGAUCAUCUUUUGUGUUUUUGUA